CGCGGAGCGGCUGGGAAGGAGGGGCUGGGCGUCUUGGAGCCCCUUGGCCCGCGGGGAAAGCGGGUGACCCGCCUUGCAAGUGGGAUGCCCCCUUCGGCCUUCUGGAGCGCAGAGCAAUGCACUCUGAAGCGGGAGGGUAGAAAGUGCUGGAAUGCGCGCCCAGGCCCAGGCUGUCGCGAGCCUUCAGCAAGCCAGUGCACACACAGAGGGCUGCCCAGAGAUCCCGGUCAGCGCUCGCAGUUCGAGGUGGAACGUGGAGGCUGUCUCCCCGGCAAGAGUGCCCACUGCAAGCGCAGGCCUGAGAAAUGGCCCAGAAAAGAGUGGUCAGGGCAAUGUGUUCUUGGCACGCCCAGCAAGACCGGCCAGAGGGACCUACAGACGAGUGUCUCCCAGCUAUCUCACCAGCAGGGACCUUGAGGUCCAAGUAUCCAGUCCGGUUAGAAAUGGCCGCGGAUCCAACAGGUGCUGGUGAGUGGGAGAAUACCCCUGAGGGAGGAAGAACAGAGGCCGGGAGGGAGCUGAGUGGAUGUAGAUGAGAAAUACCUGGACAGCUGCAAGCUGUGGUCAGUGAUGGGCAACUGGAACCAGAGAUUCCAGAGAGAGGGAGGGAGAAAGAGGGAGG
rnacentral:antisense_RNA from 1 species